rnacentral:rRNA from 1 species
AGGACGAACGCUGGCGGCGUGCCUAACACAUGCAAGUCGAACGAGGUCCAUCCGGUAGCAAUACUGGUGAAGAUCAAGUGGCGAACGGGUGAGUAGCACGUGAGCAACCUGCCCCGAAGACUGGGACAACACCGGGAAACCGGUGCUAAUACCGGAUAUCCCCACCGAGUCGCAUGGUUUGGUGAGGAAAUGUUUUUCGCUUUGGGAGGGGCUCGCGGCCUAUCAGCUUGUUGGUGAGGUAACGGCUCACCAAGGCUUCGACGGGUAGCUGGUCUGAGAGGACGAUCAGCCACACUGGGACUGAGACACGGCCCAGACUCCUACGGGAGGCAGCAGUGGGGAAUCUUGCACAAUGGGCGAAAGCCUGAUGCAGCAACGCCGCGUGAGGGACGAAGGCUUUCUGAGUUGUAAACCUCUUUCAGCAGGGACGAUUGUGACGGUACCUGCAGAAGAGCCCCGGCAACUACGUGCCAGCAGCCGC